rnacentral:lncRNA from 1 species
GGAGGUGAUAGAUUGAGGAACAGUGUGUAUUAAAUGUCACGUAGCCUGAAGCUAACAGCCUUAGCCUUAGCAGCUGUUGCCAUGAGCAAAACAAGAGCUAAAACAAGACCUAAACAUGAAAUACACAUCUGAACUAAACUGCAAACAGCUGUCAGACACUUACCAGUAGAACAAUGAGUGAGCCAUUACUUGAGGACAUCUGUGGGUGUGCUGAGCAAUUAUAUCGGCCCAUCUCACUGACGCAGUUCAGGCUAGCUGUGUCCUUUAGUCAGUCCAACACCAGCGCCUUUUACGUUGUUUCCAGUACAAAACAUGAAUAUAAUUAGAGCCCAUUCUCACAGCCUUCCCACCUGACUGUGACAACGAUUACCUCCGCAUCAGCGAACGAAAAGUGGGCAAAUUAAGCGACUUUGUUGAAAAAACAGGUGCUAUUUUCCCUUAGACCCGCGAAGACAGGAAGUGACUGGGCGCUAGUAUGCGCUACUUCCGGUUGUCGUGAAAAAGGUCUAUUGGAGCUGCGCGAGCUACACGUCACGCAAGGGCCGAGUCUACAGUGAAAAUCCCGCCCUUAUGCCCUUAUUAGGAACAUGCUUCGUCAGAGCUGGGGAGGAGGAGUCUGUAAAUCCGCCAUGAUUUCCCCCUCGAACGUGUCAUUAUGGUAAACGGGGAGGAGUGAGGAGGAGUUGUCUAUUCUUUUUAACGGUCUAUGGUUUGACUCCAUUCAGUCCCGAUGUCGCUGCGGGACCAGAGAGAGACGGGAAGAGGAAGCCAAGGGAGUGUGCGCCCCUAGCAACACAGCCCUCUCUCCCAGUCUCUCCACCAAAUCAGUGCGUCACUGCAACAUCUCCGCAACUAAAAUGUUUCGUCAUUCUGAAUCCCACCACAGGAACAAAGACUGUGAGACUGUGAAUUACAAACCAGAAAACGGGGAAAGAGAAGAGGAACAAUGGCGUUCACCCAUCCUGUUUCAUCCCUGCUAAAAAAGUUAAUGGACUUUUGAAUGGCAGCAAACAUGAAAUUGAACCAUUGAACCUUUGCCCUGGAACGUGUGCAGGACAGGACACUCAUUUAAGGAACGCUCGGUUAAUAUAAAGUGCUGCAUUCUCAACACACAUUCAGCUGUAUGACUUUGCAAAAUGGGUUCAGCGCAAUUGAAAGUGUAAAGCUGAAACGUUGGACUCCACACCACAGAACCGCUCCC